UACGUAGGGGGCAAGCGUUGUCCGGAAUCAUUGGGCGUAAAGCGCGUGUAGGCGGUUCGGUAAGUCUGCUGUGAAAGUCCAGGGCUCAACCCUGGGAUGCCGGUGGAUACUGUCGGGCUAGAGUGCGGAAGAGGCGAGUGGAAUUCCCGGUGUAGCGGUGAAAUGCGCAGAUAUCGGGAGGAACACCAAUUGCGAAGGCAGCUCGCUGGGACGUAACUGACGCUGAGACGCGAAAGCGUCGGGGAGCAAACAGG
rnacentral:rRNA from 1 species